rnacentral:misc_RNA from 1 species
UGAUUGUUUGCUUGGCUYUUUAGCCUUGCAGGUGGUUGUUUCCCAGUGUGGCUUCGGGGAUGUCUAUYGUAAAGGUGCAUGAGUAGUGUUUGGUUUGAUACGGGUGGUUGGCUCCCUGCUUGAGCAGGCACGUCCACGCGUACAUUCCUCUUCAGUUGUGCGGCAAGGCUUGUAUUGUCUUGAUCGUAUAUGUGGGUUUCCUGUGUUGCAUACCUGAUCAACGGCAUCAUCUUGAUCAAAAAUGUAUCUUUUUCGUCAGGCUUUGCACCCGCAAUGUUGGAUGAACCAUGGAGCAUCCUCUUUGAUCCAUAUAGUCGAUGAGCAUUUGUUGAUUGUUUGGCCCAUUGAGGGUGGCUUGGUCUCUUGGAUAUGGAAGCCAAAGUGGGCAUGGGUUCUUAUGAUCCUUUUAUUGCCCUCGUUGAGCGUUCUCGCUUCUCUUACACGACCGCCUUUCACGUAUGGCACGUCCCAGCGUGUUUGGCUAC